rnacentral:lncRNA from 1 species
GUGUUAAGCUGGGCUGGAUGUCCUCUGGAAGCUACCACUGUUUAGAGAGAGUCUCCUGUUGUCUUCGUCCUGAGGCUUCUUCCAUCUGCACGGAGGUUCCGAAGCGUUUAUGACAUAUCAAUCCCUCUACCAUCAGGCACACAUUUCACUGUUUUGGGAGAAGGCCUUUGGACUGAAGCUGGAAUCACUGCUGCUCCGUGGGUGCUUGUCAUGGCUCCUGUGGAUGGGAACCCGCUAGGCUUC